rfam:Strongyloides stercoralis strain PV0001 genome assembly, scaffold: SSTP_contig0000033
CCAACGGCCCUCUUUAGGGCCACCAAUUUUUAAUAUUUUUGUUUGU